rnacentral:piRNA from 1 species
UCUGUCGAUGUUGGGAUGGUGGUUAGGGU